rnacentral:rRNA from 1 species
UACGUAGGCAGCGAGCGUUGUUCGGAGUUACUGGGCGUAAAGGAGUGCGUAGGUCGUUUCUAAGUUUGGUGUGAAAUCUCCCGGCUUAACUGGGAGGGUGCGCCGAAAACUGGAAGGCUUGAGUAUGGGAGAGGUAAGCGGAAGUUACCUGGUGUAGCGGUGAAAUGCGUAGAUAUCUGGAGGAACACCGGUGGCGAAGGCGGCAUCCUGGACCGGCAUUGACGCUGAGGCGCGAAAGCCAGGGGAGCAAACGGG